UAUUCCUUAAUGUUAUGUAGAACCGCUGGUCUACGUCAAUUAUUGGACUCAUCUGGCGGAGCAGAGCAAGUUGCUCCAUCAGAUAAUCCCUUGGAUUUUAGUCUUCCCCAAGAUCCACCAGCCAGCACAACAGACACAAAGUCAAGAUCAGAUGUAAAGCUAAGCCAACUCGCCUCGAACAUCGAUUCAGAUUCCAGCAUUCAGAAAACAGAAACUCGGUUGCCUGAUCUUCUAGACAGCACGCUCUGUGACCGCAAGCUUGCCCCUUCCUCUAAGAGAAUUGUCUACGCAUUGGUCCGAGAGAAGGCUUACGAGAAUACUUUCUUGCCUCUGCUGAGUUGAAGGAAGGUUGAUUGUGUGGACCGGAGUGUGAGCCUAUAAAGACCAUCGGUGCUAGGAUGUAUGAACUUGGAUUUAAGCUCCAAGAGUUUAAAAAUCAAAUACACUCUCUUGGCUCCAACAAACGUGUGGGUGGAUAGAUUGCUGUGAAUGGGUUACUGUGGAUGAGUUGGCUUGCAGAUGGAUGGCUGUAGAUGGGUUUGUUUGGAUAGUUCAACUGUUUUCUUCUGAUGCCUAUUAUGGAUAAGUUACCUGCUCUUCUCCAGGAAGAGUUGGAGAAUGCAUUUGAAGAUGAUCUCGAUAGCAUUUUCGACAUCACGAACUCCUGCAAUCACUUGAUCAAAAGAAACGGAGAAAUGAGACUGAACUGAGAAGGAGGAUCAAAGAGAAAUUCAGAGUGAUGAAUGAGAAGCUGAACUCUCGCGAGUUUGCUCAGAAUCUAAACCCGCCUUCGUUGCAGUAGUGACUCAGGUCAUCACGAUAUCUCUCUUUCCAAUAUAUGUAUUUUAUUAGUUGUAGGUUAAGAAACAAUCUAAGAGUGUACUUCAUGAGGGAAC